UGUCCGGGGAUGGAAAUCGAACCCACAAUGUUCCGCUUACCGGGCAGAUGUCAUGUCCACCAAGCUACCCUGGAC
rnacentral:tRNA from 1 species